rnacentral:rRNA from 1 species
UGCGCAGGCGGUUUUGUAAGACAGAAGUGAAAUCCCCGGGCUCAACCUGGGAACUGCCUUUGUGACUGCAAGGCUAGAGUACGGCAGAGGGGGGUGGAAUUCCGCGUGUAGCAGUGAAAUGCGUAGAUAUGCGGAGGAACACCGAUGGCGAAGGCAACCCCCUGGGCCUGUACUGACGCUCAUGCACGAAAGCGUGGGGAGCAAACA